UACGUAGGGUGCGAGCGUUGUCCGGAAUUACUGGGCGUAAAGGGCGCGUAGGCGGCCUGUUAAGUCGAACGUGAAAUCCCCGGGCUCAACCCGGGAACUGCGUCCGAAACUGGCAGGCUCGAAUUCGGGAGAGGGAUGCGGAAUUCCAGGUGUAGCGGUGAAAUGCGUAGAUAUCUGGAGGAACAUCGGUGGCGAAGGCGGCAUCCUGGACCGAUAUUGACGCUGAGGCGCGGAAAGCCAGGGGAGCAAACGGGG
rnacentral:rRNA from 1 species